UGCGGCGUCUCCGGACACCGGCGCCUGAGCCGGGACCUGGCGGCUCCUCUGGGGCGAUUCUGCCUGCCGGGAUGGGACGGAAAUGUCAGUCUCCAGCAUUGGAGGAGCUGUGGUCUGGGUGGAAAGGCUAGGGUCGCAGAGCUCAAACAGGCGUUGUACCUUCAGAAAGCUGCAGAGUGCGCGGGGCUCGGCCCAGGAACGUUUUACUAGUCAGCUCCUCCAGCGCAAACAGUGGCGACGCGGGAUCAGGACUGGCCUCGGGAAGCUGUGGCACAGAAGGCGCUCGGGGGACCAUGCUUGGGCCUAGGAUGUCUGCGAUGCUGAAGGGUGUCCGGCGCUGGCGUCCAGAGUUCAUGGCAAGCCGGGUUGUAAUGAUCCCGCCUUCUGCUGCUCUUGGCUCCACAAUCUCCUCGGCCCCCAGCGCUCAGCUUCCGAUCUGGCCCCCCUGCCUCCGACCCGCCCCCUAGAGCUGGGUUGGAGCCCCAUGUCCCCUCCUUCUGCACCCCCACCUCCCUCCAAGGGCCGUAGUGAGUCUGGAGUCUGUAGGUGUCCUGGCAGCCUUAUUUCUUCUAUAGGGUGGAGAGAAGCCGGUGACUUCUGGCUUUGGGGUAUAGUUCUGUGCACAUUCAAACUGGGCUUUACUUUACUGAGUCCUGCUUGCUGCUUGGUUCCCCACAUAUGCUCUGGCUCAUAAACUCCUGGGCAAUAAAAUUGCUUUCCCUGACCCUAAGGGCUGGGGAUUCGCUGAGUUCUUAGAAACAGGAUCAGGGCUGAUUGUGUUAGGAUCCUGAGACCCUUAGAAUCUUCAGUAUUUUAACUUGACCAAAUCUUCCCCCACCGACCUGAGAAAAGGUCUUAAGAGAACAUGGCAGCUGGAAAUGGUUGUGCAGUGUGGGGAUUCGGGUCAAGACUUGUGAAAACCUGGCCUAGAGCAGCGACUGUCAUUAAAAGAUAUCAUAUGGAACCGGG